AGGCCCCCAGCCGGCGCUAACGAGGGAACGAGUGCCAGGUGCCGCUGGGCCGCGGCCGCCAGGGCUCAGCUGCGCCUCGUUCGCAGCCGGGGGUGGGUCCGCCCCAGACGCCUCUUAAGCUCCUCCGGAGGCCGCAGGGAGCCAUCAGACGGCUCCGGGAUCUCAUAGAGCACGGAUGUCGGCGUGGGCUCCGCUCCUUCGUCGGGUUGCGGUGGGACGUGUGCCGGUGAAGAUGAGCCCGAACCGGUGAGCCGUUCAGGUCGAGCAUCUCGUCAGCCCGAAGAGGCGAGCGUUCGGGAGCCGCUAGGGAGACGCGGCGGCACGGCUCGCACGACCGGCCCGCCGUUGAGGAUCGCUGCGUUCUUUUCCGUAACUCCUUGAGCUCUGCCUAAGCAAGAAGUAGGGGAGCCCCGGGGCGCCUCACCCAGUCGAGGCGCUGCCGGAGCUCGUAUUCCCGGUCUAAGAAGGGUUCGCGGGCGAUGAGGUGAAGUUUGGGAUUUGACCGGGAAGCCGCAAGGCAGUAAGUAUGUUAUAUUGGAGCACCACAUCCAAAGGGCUUCUGGAAAGAUCCCAGGGCGUG